CUGAGAAGAUAUGUGACAGUCUGUGCAGUGGCUUUCCGUAUGGGAAACAAUUCAACCCAUUGUGAAAAGUAAUCUAUGAAAACUAGAAGAUAUUCAUGUUGGUGAGGGCUGCGGGGCAGAGGUCCCACAAUGUCUACUCCCAACAUUUCAUUUGGUCGUAAGCUGUUGACUUGUUGAUGUUUUCCAGCAGGCUUUUGAUAUUCACUUUUUACUCUCUGGCAUUUCACACAUCUCUUGACAUGCUGUUUCAAGUCUGUCCACAUUCCUGGCCAGAAGGCUACGUUGUGCAGCCUCUUGAAAGCUUUAUAGAUUCCUACAUGACCACUCAAGGGAUGUGAAUGAUAAUGCUGUAGGAUGGUGGGGAUCAAGCUUCUGGGGAUGUACACUCGGAAGUGUACUUGGCCACUGGGCAGAUGACAGCUGCAGUAACUGGAAGUUUUGGAUCUUCCUUCUGGGUGGAGUAAAGACUGCAUUCAGGUCUUGAGUGCAUCCGUGAAAGAGCAUCAGGAGCAAUGUUGAGUUUUCCUUUGCGGUAUUCAACCACAAAAUCAAAUUUAUGCAGACAGAAAGCCCAUCGAACCAGUCGGCUGGUAGUCUUGGUGGAACUCAUCACCCACUAUGGUAACCUGUGGUACCAUCCAGCAAGUCCCAGAAAAUGCUGAACUUCUUUCAGGUUGCUGGGCAUGGGAUUGAUGUUUGAACCAACAGUUUGUAAUCUGGAAAGAACAGUUUGGAGAUCCUGGAAAUGCUGGUUCAGAGAUGGUGAGUAUAUAAUAUAAUCAAUAUAUACAAAGCAUAUUUUUCCUCUCAGUUCUCCAAGAACAGUUUCCAUCAGCCUCUGACAUGUUGCAGGAGCAUAUUUCAAUCCAAAAGGCAUUACAUUAAACUGGCGCA